UACGUAGGGGGCUAGCGUUAUCCGGAAUUACUGGGCGUAAGGGUGCGUAGGUGGUUUCUUAAGUCAGAGGUGAAAGGCUACGGCUCAACCGUAGUAAGCCUUUGAAACUGGGAGACUUGAGUGCAGGAGAGGAGAGUGGAAUUCCUAGUGUAGCGGUGAAAUGCGUAGAGAUUAGGAAGAACACCAGUGGCGAAGGCGAUUCUCUGGACUGUAACUGACGCUGAGGCUCGAAAGCGUGGGGAGCAAACAGGAUUAGAUACCCUGGUAGUCCCUGA
rnacentral:rRNA from 1 species